AUGGUGUUCCACCCUCCCAACUACACACACCAGGUGUAGUGACUGAUUGGGGGGCGGGGCAGAUAGCUUUAAAGCUGAGCAGUCCGCUGCGAGGUGCGUGUGCUUUGUUUCCUUACCGUGUGUCGGCUGCCCAAGUGGCUGGUGUGCUCGAUCCACUCAUCCAAAAUAGUAAGUGCCAUUUUGCCAUCUGGGCUGGGGAUUGUUGUCGGGUUCUGGUGCAAUACCUGCCGUGCGUUUCUGCAGCGUUGCGCGGCUGGCGUUGGCGGCUGCAGUUGGAGGUUGGUGCGGCGAGCGGCUUCCGUCCGGCCCUCGCCUGCUGAUCCGCUCCCUCCCUGGUCGGCUGUGUCACCACAUCUGGGAUUCUUCCGGAGUUGCAGCGCUUGGACGCUCCUGCUGUCUUGUCUGUCUUGCCGGUUUUGUUUGGGCCGCUCUCGGCGGAGCCUGCUGACGCUUGGGCUGGCGGAACGAGCGGGGCACGACUCCUCUGGCCCCGUGAAAAGACAUUAGAAGUCGGACAACGACAGUUUGUCCCAUCGUUUGCAGUG